ACAGGAUGAACGCUGGCUUCCGUGCUUAAUACAUGCAAGUCGAACGUGAGAGAUUGCUUUCGGGUGAUCUUGAAAGUGGCGGACGGGUGAGUAACACGUAGCUGACCUACCCUGUAGUGGGGAUAACCUGCCGAAAGGCGGGCUAAUACCGCAUGAGCUUUGGGGGUUUAGAAACCUCAAAGGAAAGCUUUAGUGCUACAGGCAGGGGCUGCGGCCCAUCAGCUAGUUGGUGAGGUAACGGCUCACCAAGGCGAUGACGGGUAGGGGACCUGAGAGGGUGGCCCCCCACACUGGGACUGAGACACGGCCCAGACUCCUACGGGAGGCAGCAGUAAGGAAUAUUGGUCAAUGGGGGCAACCCUGAACCAGCGACGCCGCGUGGAGGAUGAAGGGUUUCGGCUCGUAAACUCCUUUUAGGUGGGAAGAGCAAGGACGGUGCCACCUGAAUAAGUCUCGGCUAACUACGUGCCAGCAGCCGCGGUAAAACGUAGGAGACGAGCGUUAUCCGGAUUUACUGGGCGUAAAGCGCGUGCAGGCGGUUAAGUAAGUCACUUGUGAAAGCGCCCGGNUCAACUGGGCGAGGCCGUGUGAGACUGCUUGACUCGAGAGAGGUAGAGGCGAAUGGAAUUCCGGGGUGGAGUGGUGAAAUGCGUAGAGAUCCGGAGGAACACCAGUGGNCGAANGCGAUUCGCUGGGUCCUGGCUCUGACGGCUCAGACGCG
rnacentral:rRNA from 1 species